UGUGUUGGAAUUAUGUAAUACAUUUAUAUCGGAUAUGAGAAAGUUCCAGAACAUCGUUCUAGAAUAAGUUAUAUCGAGUAUGUUCGAGAAGUAUCGAUUGUGGUGACAGCUAUGUUUGUGUAUAUAUGCGUGAGUGAUGAGGCGCAAUAGAUAGUCUUCGUGUGUAUUUUAUGAAGUGAACGUAAACCUAAUGAAAACCAAAAUCAGGAACAUGCUCUAAACCAGUACACUGAAUGGAGCACUUCUUGCCUCUGAAUGCAUUAAAAAACGACCAGGAAACAACGGAACAUGUGUAACUUUUGAGCCAACACACGGAAUGUACGAGAGAAUGACGUCGGACACUCUUUAUAAAACGAAACAGGAAGAAGAAGAUGUAGACAUCGAAUUUGUUUCAUAAUUACAAAUUCUUGUUCAUAGUUUUAUUCAUUUGUAAAUAAGGUUUUGUAAAGCUAUAUGAAUAAAAAAUUUUCAAAACGUA